AGGAAACUAGAAGUCUCAGGAUGAAUCCAUCUAGAUCUAGAUCAGGUGGUAGUGGAGAAGAAAUCUCAUUUCAAGAAAAUGAGAGAAGAUGGCAACAAGAGCGUCUCCACAGAGAAGAAGCCUAUUACCAGUUUAUUAAUGCGCUCAAUGAUGAAGAUUAUCGGUUAAUGAGAGAUCAUAAUCUUUUAGGCACCCCUGGAGACAUAACAUCCGAGGAGCUACAGCAGCGCCUGGAUAGAGCGAAGGAGCAGCUGGUGUCUCAGCCUGGCUCGGGGAGUGGGACAAGUGACGGAGGUACUGAGGCCUGCACUGUCCCACUUGGCCUGCCUGCCUGCAGCGCUUUACUGUUGUGAUGUGAUCCUCAUUCAGAUAGCCUGUGUGUUGCUGAGAGCAGUCUGGUUAGGGACUAGAGAGCAGAGACUAAGUUCAGAAGUGUUCUCAUACAUGGUUUGCCUUCAGGAAGCUUAUGUGUACAGAAUAGUAAAUACAUAUUUUCCCUCCUUCCAACCUUCCUAAGAUAAGCCGGGGCCCCAUGUGUUCUUGAUAAAUAUUCUACCAUUGAGCUACAUCCCCUAGCCAGAUAUAGUUCUUCCUAAUGUUUGCAUGAACACACUACAUUGCUUUUGUAUUACAGAGCCUAAUACAGACAGGAAACUGUCUUUGCUGCUGCUUUUCCGUUUGCUUGCUUGUUAUUUCAUCAAGAAAACACUAAAUCAUAUAAAAAUUCUUGGAAUAAGCAAAAUACUAAUGCAAACCA
rnacentral:lncRNA from 1 species